GAUGAACGCUGGCGGCGUGCUUAACACAUGCAAGUCGAACGGAACUACUCCAAUGAGAGUCUUCGGAAAGGAUUUGGUUUAGUUUAGUGGCGGACGGGUGAGUAACGCGUGGGUAACCUGCCCUAUACAGGGGGAUAACAGUUGGAAACGACUGUUAAUACCGCAUAAGCGCACAGGAGCGCAUGCUCCGGUGUGAAAAACUCCGGUGGUAUAGGAUGGACCCGCGUCUGAUUAGCUGGUUGGCGGGGUAACGGCCCACCAAGGCGACGAUCAGUAGCCGGCCUGAGAGGGUGAACGGCCACAUUGGGACUGAGACACGGCCCAAAAUCCUACGGGAGGCAGCAGUGGGGAAUAUUGCACAAUGGGGGAAACCCUGAUGCAGCGACGCCGCGUGAGCGAAGAAGUAUCUCGGUAUGUAAAGCUCUAUCAGCAGGGAAGAAAAUGACGGUACCUGACUAAGAAGCCCCGGCUAACUACGUG
rnacentral:rRNA from 1 species